rnacentral:tRNA from 1 species
AGGUUCUUAGCUCGGUAGAGCAUUUGACUGCAGAUCAAGAGGUCACCAGUUCGAGCCUGGUAGGGCCCU